UGUUCCCAUGUCGAACACAGCAGUUAAGCUCUCCAGCGCCGAUGGUAGUUGGACUGACGUCCCGCAAGAGUAGGACGCUGCCAGGC
rnacentral:rRNA from 1 species